AUCUUAUAUGAAAGAGAGGGAAAAAUAUUUAAAAAAAAAAAUAAAAACACACAUAAAUCAAUCAUACAGUUAGAACCUGGGGUUCCCAGAUUGGGCGUCCAAGCUUUUUCCAUAAGAAAAAUGGGUUUGCGUUUUGUGUUAGAACCAAUUGCGCCUUGUUGUGUGUGCCCUUCACGUGCUAGUAAAAUCGAAAGUCAAAACACGCUUGUCGACUUCGCCUUCCUACCUCUCUCUCGACCUCGCUUCUGGCUCUCUCCAUUUUCACGCCGAUGACCACCAUCCACCACCGUCGGUGGUGGACGAUCGACGACCACCACCACUCUCUCUUUCUCUCUCUCCAUUCGCAAACCCUAACUGUUGAAUCUGCCAUUGCCGACCUAGGAGCGUCCAUUGCAAAACAGGUGCACUUGUUUACUUUACUAAACUGAUACACGCCUUGCAUUGAAGUGUACACAGAAGGGACAACUGGAUGUCCUGCAAAACAAACAAUGUACAAGCUGACAGCAGUACGAGGGGCACGCACAUUAACCAAGGUUCCUUACCAUUGAAAGCACCAACACAGACAGCGGAGAUGAAGAUGAUGAGGCAAGAGAACACCCCCGUGGCUGAGACAUAGGAGAGUAUGCCGAGGUCAGUUAACAGCAUUGAGGGAAGAAUCACAAGUGCAGUGAUUAAAAACAAACGACUGUGUUCCCUCAACAGUUAGUGUUCCAAUCUUGAUCAUGAAUUUUGGGAAGAGUUUAUGUAAGUUGUCAGCUUCAAGUAUCAAGAGGCCCAUUCCAACGAGGUACAACUCCGAGUUCAUGAUGAUUGUGACUAUGAUUCGGCCUGUUUUACCAAUUGCUUGUUCUGCAAUGUUGAGGUAAGAUCUAAUGGAUGGAUCAGCAUCAAGACAUGUCUUCAGUAGCAGUCCAGUGUAGAAGGUCAUGGGGGUGAUGACGAAAAAUAACAGGAAGCCUAACCAACCACCACUUGAGAGGGCAUAGGGAACUAUCAGAAGACCAAUUCCUGUGAAAUCAAACCAUUGCUUAUCAAAUUUGUAAAUUAUUUGUGCAGUGAAAAAGAACAUCUGAGUUGAAAGAAAAUAAUUGAAGGAGAAGAUGGUUUCUCUCCAGUUCAGUCUUGUGAUUGGACUGUUCCAGUCUAGCAAUUUGGGUCCAUAACAGGAUCCGUUAAGAUGAUUCAAAUCGUUCCUUUUUAUCUCCAUGUGUAUUGAUUAUCCCCAUAAAAAUUUGAUCAGAUAGUUGUAAUCGUAUAAUUUUAUCAUAUUUGAUAGAGCUGCGUGGAGACGAAGGAUUCA